GACGAACGCUGGCGGCGUGCUUAACACAUGCAAGUCGAACGAUGAAGAAAAGAAUCGAAGCUUCGGCAGAAAUUCAUUUCGGAUUAGUGGCAGACGGGUGAGUAACGCGUGAGCAACCUACCUCUUACAAAGGGAUAGCCUCGGGAAACCGGGAUUAAUACCAUAUAACAUUGCGACGAAGCAUUUCGAUGCAAUCAAAGCUACGGCGGUAAGAGAUGGGCUCGCGUCCCAUUAACCAGAUGGUGAGGUAACGGCUCACCAUAGUAACGAUGGGUAACCGGCCUGAGAGGGUGAACGGUCACACUGGAACUGAGACACGGUCCAGACUCCUACGGGAGGCAGCAGUGGGGAAUAUUGCACAAUGGAGGGAACUCUGAUGCAGCGACGCCGCGUGAGUGAUGAAGGAAUUCGUUUCGUAAAACUCUGUUCUAUGGGAAGAAAAGGACUGUACCAUAGGAGAAAGCUCCGGCUAAAUACGUGCCAGCAGCCGCGGUAAUACGUAUGGAGCGAGCGUUGUCCGGAAUUAUUGGGCGUAAAGGGUGCGCAGGCGGCUUUACAAGUUGGAUGUGAAAUAUUGUGGCUCAACCACAAACGUGCAUCCAAAACUGCAAAGCUUGAGUUAAGGAGAGGUAAGUGGAAUUCCUGGUGUAGCGGUGGAAUGCGUAGAUAUCAGGAGGAAUACCGGUGGCGAAGGCGACUUACUGGACUUAAACUGACGCUCAGGCACGAAAGCGUGGGGAGCAAACAGG
rnacentral:rRNA from 1 species